rnacentral:rRNA from 1 species
AUUGAACGCUGGCGGCAUGCUUUACACAUGCAAGUCGAACAGAAAGAGGCCGCAGACAACUGACGAGUGAGGAAGGGGUGAGGACGAAAUCGGAACACGACCGGUCGUGGCGACAACCGCAGCGCAAACACCGCUAAUACCACAUACGAUCUAUGGCAACAAGCGGGGGACCGUAAGGCCUCGCGCGAUUGGAGCGGCCGAUGUCAGAUUAGGUAGUUGGUGGGGUAAAGGCUAACCAAGCCAACGAUCUGUAGCUGGUAUGAGAGGACGACCAGCCACACUGGGACUGAGACACGGCCCAGACUCCUACGGGAGGCAGCAGUGGGGAAUUUUGGACAAUGGGCGCAAGCCUGAUCCAGCAAUGCCGCGUGCAGGAAGAAGGCCUUCGGGUUGUAAACUGCUUUUGUACGGAACGAAACGGUCCUGGUUAAUACCCGGGGCUAAUGACGGUACCGUAAGAAUAAGCACCGGCUAACUACGUGCCAGCUUCUUCAGUAACAC